CAGGGGUGUCAGGCAACGCCACUGGGGCAAAUGGGUCGCUGAGAUUAGGCUCCCUAAGAACCGCACCAGGCUCUGGCUAGGAACUUUCGACACGGCGGAGGAAGCUGCUCUGGCUUACGACAAGGCAGCUUACAAGCUCAGAGGCGACUUCGCCAGGCUCAAUUUCCCGCACCUCCGCCACAAUGGGUCAGUCGUCGGAGGCGAGUUCGGCGAGUACAAGCCUCUGCAUGCUUCUGUCGACGCCAAGCUUCAAGCCAUCUGCGAAGGCUUGGCCGAAACUCAGAAACAGGGCAAGGCAGCG
rnacentral:lncRNA from 1 species